rnacentral:rRNA from 1 species
GACGAACGCUGGCGGCGUGCUUAACACAUGCAAGUCGAACGGAAAGACCCUGCUUUUGUGGGGUGCUCGAGUGGCGAACGGGUGAGUAACACGUGAGUAACCUGCCCUUGACUUUGGGAUAACUUCAGGAAACUGGGGCUAAUACCGGAUAGGAGCUCCUGCUGCAUGGUGGGGGUUGGAAAGUUUCGGCGGUUGGGGAUGGACUCGCGGCUUAUCAGCUUGUUGGUGGGGUAGUGGCUUACCAAGGCUUUGACGGGUAGCCGGCCUGAGAGGGUGACCGGCCACAUUGGGACUGAGAUACGGCCCAGACUCCUACGGGAGGCAGCAGUGGGGAAUAUUGCACAAUGGGCGGAAGCCUGAUGCAGCAACGCCGCGUGCGGGAUGACGGCCUUCGGGUUGUAAACCGCUUUCGCCUGCGACGAAGCGUGAGUGACGGUAAUGGGUAAAGAAGCACCGGCUAACUACGUG